rnacentral:rRNA from 1 species
GACGAACGCUGGCGGCGUGCCUAAUACAUGCAAGUAGAACGCUGAAGGAGGAGCUUGCUUCUCUGGAUGAGUUGCGAACGGGUGAGUAACGCGUAGGUAACCUGCCUGGUAGCGGGGGAUAACUAUUGGAAACGAUAGCUAAUACCGCAUAAUAGUAGAUGUUGCAUGACAUUUGCUUGAAAGGUGCAAUUGCAUCACUACCAGAUGGACCUGCGUUGUAUUAGCUAGUUGGUGGGGUAACGGCUCACCAAGGCGACGAUACAUAGCCGACCUGAGAGGGUGAUCGGCCACACUGGGACUGAGACACGGCCCAGACUCCUACGGGAGGCAGCAGUAGGGAAUCUUCGGCAAUGGACGGAAGUCUGACCGAGCAACGCCGCGUGAGUGAAGAAGGUUUUCGGAUCGUAAAGCUCUGUUGUAAGAGAAGAACGAGUGUGAGAGUGGAAAGUUCACACUGUGACGGUAUCUUACCAGAAAGGGACGGCUAACUACGUGCCAGCAGCCGCGGUAAUACGUAGGUCCCGAGCGUUGUCCGGAUUUAUUGGGCGUAAAGCGAGCGCAGGCGGUUAGAUUAAUUCUGAUGUUUAAGGCUGUGGCUUAACCAUAGUACGCUGUGGGAAACUGUUUAACUUUGAGUGGAAGAGGGGAGAGUGUAAUUCCAUGUGUAGCGGGGAUAUGGCGUUGAUAUAUUGAGGAACUGCUAGUGGGUAAAUCGGUGCUCUUGUGUGGAUCUGACGCUUGGGUUCCGAUG